GGCCCGAUGAGCUUCUAUCGGUGCUCACCACACUCAUCCGCAGAGAAGCGUGCGCCUCCACGGUGUCCGUCGGGGUCACUUCCUCGAUCGACGAGGGAGUUCUUCGAGAGUUUUUCGACGCCGUGGCCAAAAACAAGACACUUCGUCGACUACACUUCCAUUCCGAAGUAUUCGACGCUCUCGCGAGAGGAAUAGCUUCCACAGCGAAGGGUACCAAGACCCUCCGGGAAAUCUAUAGCACGCCGGUGCAGCGUGGUAGUGAGCACCAACUUAUCACCAUACUCAAUGCCCUCAAAGAAAACAGUUCCAUUACGGAGUUCGUAAUGUGCGUCGAAACGGUGACGUCCGAAGUAGCGACAUCCCUUGCAGAGUUGCUCGCCGCGAACAACGCGCUGAGGGACAUACACUUGUGCGAGGAAUCGGAUAUCUCGCCCACAGCAAGGGAAACCAUCCUGCAGGGGUUAUCGGCUAACUACACUGUCACUGAACUCACGGUUUGCGCGAAGGUCGAUGAAGAGGACACAACACACGACAUUGAAGCACUUUUGAACAGGAACUUUAGGAUCCUCGAAAAGGCUGUGGACUUUGUGAUUUCUGGUGGUGACGUCAGUGACCAGGUGGGCUCGUAUGCUCUGAAGAAAGUGCACUCAAGCGCUGGCUUUGUAGAGAUGUUGAAGUUCAUAACACAAAAAAACAACAGAGGCGACGCUAGAAGACAUACGGGCAGUUUUAGCUCGUAUGACUGUCUGAUUUCGGCGUUUCAAAACAAGGCUUAUUUCGAUUUUUAAUUAGAUCACAUUAUUGUCCUGUCUCAAUAUUUUGUUGUGUGUAUUGAAGUA